rnacentral:rRNA from 1 species
UACGGGGGGGGCAAGCGUUGUUCGGAAUUAUUGGGCGUAAAGGGCUCGUAGGCGGCCAACUAAGUCAGACGUGAAAUCCCUCAGCUUAACUGGGGAACUGCGUCUGAUACUGGAUGGCUUGGAUUCGGGAGAGGAAUGCGGAAUUCCAGGUGUAGCGGUGAAAUGCGUAGAUAUCUGGAGGAACACCGGUGGCGAAGGCGGCAUUCUGGACCGACAUUGACGCUGAGGAGCGAAAGCCAGGGGAGCAAACGGG